AUAUGGCCGAGUGCCCAAACAAGUCCAGCCCUUGAUGUACGCCGCCAAAGACGAUUUGCACUCGCCUGCAUCCUCUGACACGUCCAAAGUUCCCGCCAAGAGGGCAAAGUCGGUCGAACCUCCACCAGUGCAGAAGUCCAAAAAGCCCAAACUGGUCACCCUGAGGUCGUCCAGGUCAGAGUUUAGUGACGAGGAGAACGAAAACGAGUGGGAGGAGGAGGAGCACCACCUCACCCGGAGCUCCAGUCGAGACGGCGACACUCACGGCUUUGUUCAGAGCAGCCUGCACGCCUCCAACACGGAGAUUUCAGAGGUGGAUGACACCAUGGUGGAGCUUGAUAUCUUGGACAGUAUGCCCGAUGUGCUGGGCCUUUCCCAAGAUGCCCUGUGUCCUGACUCAACCUGUCAGCAGGCAGAUCAUGACACAGGCACUUCUGAGCCCAGUGAGCACCAGCUGGACCUGCUUGUUGAUGUUAUAGACUUCAUUUCCUCGGAACAAACUGAAGGUAUGCGACUUGUCCGUUUUGUUUGUUUUUGUCUUAGGUGCGUCUGGUACCUGAUGCCGUAAAUUAAAUUGGACUUUUCAUGUUUCUUUCAGUGUCUCAGGAUGAGAGCUACACUGAAGCAGCUCAAACCCUUUUGACCAUUGGUAACCGAGCUCAAAUUUCUCCGUCUGCACAGAGUGGAGAUACCUUAGAAGAAUGCACUGCAGGUAUGCAACCAAAGAAACAAAACAAAAAAAGCAGCCCCGGUUCCUCUGUUGGUGUAGGCUGUCUCCUGGCUUGGAAAGUUACAUUCCAUUGUAUUUGAUUGCAGGAACAUCAGUUGGUGUCAGUGAGUUCACAUAUGCACAAGAGGAGAUUUUGACAGUUUCACCCCAGAAAAGGGUCCCUUCUGGGAAAUCUGCAGAUCAGAAAGUGACAUCGCCUCCCACCGAAAAGCACCAGAGUGCUGAAGUGGAAAGCAAUAACUCGCUUCCCGUUGAGACAAGUGAUCAGAACGUUGAUCAAUUGGGUUUUAAAUCUAUAGAGAAGUCUUCACUUAUAAAGGCUGGUCCGUGUUCUAAGGUGAAGCCUAAACCAAACCUCGGUCACAGCUCAAGGACUGCAAAACCGGUAUCUCACACUGAGAUGUCGACAGAAGGGGGAGCUGGAAUAAGCUGCUCAGUUGCUCAAUGUGUUUCUCAAGAUGAUGAGACUUCACUAUCUGCUGAAGAAACAUCCCCUGGAAUAUCAGCUUCUGCUGCAGCAUUGUUUAAAGAUAACACUUCCUCUCAGCGCGCCUGCUUGGAUCAGGUUGAAACAGGUGCAGCAGAUCAGAAUCUCCUGAAAAGCCAGAGUCAGACUGUAAUUCAGUCCCAGUUGGGGCCUCCUGUAAAGUCCAAGGCUGGCUUAAAUAAACCAGUUGAAGCAGUGCCAGAGGUUAAAAAAGCGUCAAGCAACGAUCACAGCCCAGUUCCAGACAGAACCAGCAAACCUCAACCCUCGGUUGCAGACAACUCUUCUGUGAGUCACACAGGAGAAGGUGAUGUAAAAAGUCCUUCUCAGCCCAGAGGCAGACUGCCAAAAGUCAAACCCAAACCAAUCUUACUGCAGACGUCAAGAAUAGCUAGAUCCAAACGGCAAACCACUGAAGGGGUGGCAGAGAAAGAGUCAAUUGAAAGUCAGAAUACUUCAACUAAAAUGCCAGCAGAACUUCCAGAUGAACGGACUACAAGUGAGGAGACAACAAGUCCUAAAUGUCUAAAUCAAGCAGCACCUGUUCAGAGCGCUACAGAAACUCUGAUCUCUGCCAAAGUCGUGCCUGAGCUCUGUGUGGAGCAGACCAGCAAAGACUCUGAAGCCACUUCUGAAACUGUGUCAACUGAACAAACAGACCCAGAACUACCAGCUCCACAUGGGUCACAUUUGGGUUCAGAAAGAAAAGAAGAUUCUGCUGCAGUUGCUGAAGCAACCUCCAAUCAAGAUGAGAAAAAAACGGGAUCUUCUCAGUCAAGAAAGGGUCGACUACAAAAGGUUAAACCCAAACCAAACAUACCACAGUUGUUGAGAGGUGCAAGAUCCAAAGCUCAGAACACAGAAGAUGCCAUCCAAAAAAAUCUGGAGCUUCACAAAAACCCAUCCGUAGAGGCGGAAACACAAACAAAACUCACCCAAAAACUGUCUGCAAAUAAGGAGAUGAAGACAAAAGAUGGAGUUGAAGAUCAAGAAGAAUUGGGUGGAGCACCAUCAGGUCAAAGUCCUACAAAAGCCAAGAAUCUCUCCAUCGAGUCCAGUUUGGAGCAGGCAACUGGAGAUGCACUAUCAAUUCCUGAUUUAACCAAAGAAAGUGCAGCAUCCCAUGUUGAAGAUCCAGUUUUAAAGGCCUGUGAGGUCACAGAACCAGAACAAGGACUACAUUUGGAUUUUAUUGAAAGUGCAAAUUCAGCUUCUUUAAAUAAGUCUGUAGAAGAGUUGGCAGUCAUGCAAAAAGAGGAAAAAUCGUUGCCAACAGGUCAGACAAAGAGAGAUCGACUGUCAAAAAUCAAACCAAACCUUCAAACAUCAAGAGCUGCAAGAUCUACAUCUCAAACCACUGAAGAAGUUACGCAAAAAGACUUGUUUCCAGGUGAAGGACCUGAUUUCACGAAGGUGGAACCAGAACAGGAACUGUCUGUAAAUAAAGACACAUGGAGAGAGGCUGGGUUUGUAGACCCCAAAGUAUUGACAGACAAGAGCACCAAAGAAAGCCCAAAUCCCUGUGAAGAUCAGCCUGAGCCAUGUAAGGAGCAAACCAUAAGAGAUAGAGGAGCAACGUCUGAUUCAGCUCCAGAAAAUCUGUCAUACUGUUUUGGGCUACAGUCAAAUGUGGAGCCAGGAAAAAGUGGAAAGCCUUCAGCAGCAGCACAGGAACCAAGUGCAUCUGAUGAAAGGAAGACGGGUCAAAUCAAAAAACGUAAACCCAAACCAAACCUGGUACAGACAUCAAGAGCUCUGAGGUCCAAAUCCUCAAAAGAUUCACAGGAUAAGAACUCAAGUUCCAUAAUAGAACCCAAAGUCCAUGAAGAUGCCAUGUCAUUGGUGGAAGCAAACCUGUCUUUGGACAGUCAAUCUGAAACCGUUCCUACUUCAACAGUACAGCCUGUUAUGACUUUAGACUCAACUUCCACUCCAACAACAUACUCUUCUUCAAAUGACGAUCAAAGGGAAUUAACUAGACUGGAUUCGAUUGAUAUGAUUGCAGAAAUAUCAGAUCAGAGCACCACAGAGAACCAGAACUUCCCUGAAGUCCAGAUUGGUAACACCAGAGUUGAAGAAUCUCUGACGGAGUUCUCUGAUAAAAACCUAAAAUCUCAUGUUGAACCAACUGAUUCAAGAGUUCCAGAGGCACCAAAGCUGGGUUUGGAUCCAACUUCAUCUGUUGCAGGGCCUCCAGCCGUCAAACAAGGUUCUGAAGUUGCAUCUUCUUGUUUAUCAGUGAGGAACAGAUUAUCAAAAAUUAAACCCAAACCCAACUUGACAAAAACCUCAAGAGCUGCAAGAUUGAGACCUCAGAUCUCAAAAGAAUCAGCACAAAGUUCUGAAUCCUGCAAAAAGUUUGAACCAGAAAACAGCAACAUCUCCAAUUCUGUUUCAGGUUCAGAACAAUCCAAGAAUGCAUUCCCUGCAGAAGAGAAACAUCCUAGACGUGUAGAUCAGGCGGACACGGAUGCAGCCACAACAGGUUGCAGUGCUCCAAAGAAACAGAACAUCUGUCAAGUCCUGGUUGAAGAACAAACAUCUGCAGACCAGGCAUCGGCCUCUGAGAUGAGAGAGGAAGCAUCUCCGGUUGGGAAGUCACCAGAUGUUCGGCAUUUAUCUGCACAGGCGUGUUCAGAAGAAGCUGAAUCAAACGCUAAGUUUAGGAGAUUACAGAAAAUUCGCCCCAAACCGAAUUUACCAAAUAAAUCAAGAACGGCAAGAAUUGGAACACCAACCAUAAAUGACCCAAAGGAAAAAGAUUUGAGUGAAACUCAAUUUGAACAAGACUUGAUUGAACAAACAUCUGCAGGAAACCAGAACAUCACUGAAGUUCCCAAUGAAGAUCAGACCACUGGAAAAAUUGAGGAAACAUCCUCUUUUGUUGAGGUGAGAAAUUUAGCAUGUGAAGAAGCAGAAAAGGGAGAAGUGUCCUUUGUGGGGCAGGAGCUCCAUCUUGCUGCAUCAGGAACCAAGCAACAUGUUGGUGAAGAGGAUGAAGCUGCAUCUACGUCUCAAUCCAAGAGGAGGCGUUUUCAGAAACCUGAACCAAACCUCCCUGUGACAUCAAAAGGCGCUAAAUCUAAACCCGAAUUCCCUAAAGAGCCAGUCCAACUCACGCUCGCUAUGAAGCAACCACAGAUCUCCACCUCCAAAUCUAUGGAGCAACCUCAGAUCUCUAUUUCUAAAUCUGUGGAGCAACCUCAGAUCUCCACCUCCAAAUCUAUGGAUCAACCUCAGAUCUCCAUCUCCAAAUCUUCUGACCGCUCAACAUCAAAAGAAGAUGGUCAGUUUGUGUUGACUUCUCAUAAAAUCAAAAGUUCAGUUGCGGAACCGUUCGUCGAAUUGAGCCCAUCUCAUAAAUUUGUAGAGGAAUCAACCUCCGAGUGCAAAACAAAUGUUGAACAAGUCUCCAAUUCAGAGCAAAAUCUUCUUCAGAGAAGACCAAGGCUUUCCAGAGUCAGACCCAAACCUAAUCUAGAAGUAUCCAGUCGAGCUUUGCGGCGAAAAGUUCAGCCAGGUGACGGUUCCAAACCUUCAGGUGAAACUUCCACACCUCCAAGUGGCCUUAAGACGUCAGUGGAGAUGGAACCAGGUGGAGAAAAAAUGGACAGUGAAGGUCCAGCUGAGAGGGACUUGAUGGAUCCGUCUGCAGCUGUGGAUGCUCAGGUCUCAACACAAGUCGGUUCUACAUCAACCUCCAAAGCCAGCUCGGUCAGUGCAGAGGGACACUCCUCAACCCAAAGUAUUGAUUCUGCUGAAUCAGAAGCAGCUGACUCUUCUGAGACGUCAAAUAAAGCUCCUCAACCUCCCAACAUCACGUGCAGCAGUCUUGCACAGCGCAGACAGACGGAUGCAGAUUCUGACACUAGCUCGAGGACAGCUUCGUUGGAGCCUCGCCCUGGCAGUCGAUGGCCAGUAGGUGGAGACAUUGAUGAGACGAGAGACAAAUCGUCCUGUCUAGAUCCUGCUUCUCAAGAAGUGUCAUCUACGCAAAAUACGUCGGCUUUAAAUCCGGAGGGGAUCCACACUUAUCCGCUUCUGAUGGAGAUGCUGCCCGAGCAGGUGCCUUCAGAUCCGGAUGAACCGUUCUUCGUCCUUUCUCUGAUGGAGAUCCCGGGGGAGGCGGUAACCAGCGCGGCCGAGAAGCCGCCUCAUCACCCCGUCGCAGAUGCUGUCACGCUGCGGCCGUGGGAUUCUGGAGAGAGUUCCACAGCAGCAGCAGGAGAGAAGUCCGUCUCUGGCGUCUCCACAAAAAGUGCAGAAACAAGUUCUGCAUCUGAAGGUGAAGCUGCAAAUCAAAUUAAACUUUAUUUAUAACACUUUGCAUACUCAUGUAGCUCAAAGUGCUACAUAUAUAUCUAUAUAUAUAUAGAUAUAUAUAUGACUUUCACACAUAAAAAAUUAUAAAACACAUACAAUACCCACAAAAGCCUGACCUUUUUUUUUUUAGAAAUACCUUUGUAAUCAUUGUUUGCAUGAGGACUAAACACAAGAUAAGCUGUCGGCUUAAACGUUUGUUAGAAGAGUUAUUGAGUCAGUAAGUCUGAACCGAUGAAUAUCUUGCCAAUUUUACCAAACUGGUUUUGCGAGCCUCCUGCUGAAACUAGAGCUGCGCUUUACGGCAGUAAAAGGUCUUGAUCCAUUCAUGACCUGCACACUUCUAGUAGGGCAUUUAUUUUAAAGAAUAAGCUUGAAAUAUACAGCGUCGAUCAAAGUAAUAUAAAGUAAAUAUCGGAUUCCGGGUCGAGUCUGAAACUACGUGAUCAGGCCAGAUUUACUGUGGCUGCAGAGUGAUCCUCCUAUCAAAUUUUUAUUUUUUUCUCUGUUUUUUAAAUAUUUUUAUGCCUCAUUGUUAAAUCUUACGGUUUUUAACGUUUUUAAUCCAGAAAAACCUGCAGAAAAUCUAGAAACCUGUGUUGCCAGAGAGACGGACGCAGCAGCUGAGAAUAAAGGUAUUCACAACAUUUCUCUUUCAAAUGCUUAUAAAAAUAAACAUUUAUUUUUCUGUAUUUAAUUUUUAUUGCCUCUUUUAACAGUUAUUUCAACAAGGAGAAGAAGAACUAAAGCUGAAGCUACCGUCAGCCAGAGAAGUGAGGCUGAAGCUGCUUCUGACCCACGAAGUUGUAAAAAAGGAAAAAGCUUGAAGAAAUCUGACAGCAGUUUGGGCUCCAAAAAAAGUAACACAAGCAGUCGUCAGACUAGGUAAGGUAUUUUUUUAUAUAUUAACAAUUUGUCAAUGAUAUUACCCUUUAAGAUCUAGUUUUUCUGUCCCUUACAGAAAAGCAAAAGACGUUUCCCAUGAAGUCAAAACGUCGCCCAGCGAUUCCCCUGCUGCGAAGGCGAAGACGUCUGCUAAGAAAGCAGCUUCUGCGUCACAUGAAGAUGCUGCACCAGCCAAAGUCCGUUCAGCUCCUGUGGGGUCGCAGUCCAGACCCACCGCCGACCAGACACCCGGCACCUCAACUCCCAGCUCCACCCUCCGCACCGCCCGGGUAAGACGGCAACUAGCGGCUGAAAACAUGUCAUUUCUUUUCUCUCAUUUGGGUUUGUGUUGAUCUUUGCAGGAAAGCUGUGCUGAGAUCAGCUCAGCAGAGGAGGAGCCCACCAGCGUGUCGCAGUACUUCAUUAGUGACAUUUUCACAGAAGUGGAUGAGUCAUGAACACCGGAUUCUCAUUUAAAGAAGCUCCUGUUUUUUAGUCUUAGUUGUGAUGUUUUUAUAGUCCAAUACACCCCCCCCCCAAACCCCAAUGGCACUUUGAAUUGGUUUUGGAGUUGAAAUCAGUGCUUUUUGAAAAUGCACUUAGAUGAUAAAUGCUAAAGUCUGAAAGCUAAAGCGGCAGCAGCUGAAUGUUUCAGUUCAGCCUCAAAUUUUACUCAACAACUGUGAAAAUGUAAAUAUGUUGUGUGUUUCAUUUUGUACUUGAUGCCACUUUCUAAAUUGUGUACAGCUUUAUACAACCCUCUUGUGUACAUAAUUUUAUUUAGUUAAGCAAACUCCAUCAAAGGUGAAUUUAUGGAUGUUUCCAUGAAUGGUUGACGAGUAACAGUGGUUUACAAUAAAUCAAGAUAAACACUUGAUUGGGUUUUUUAUUUGACUUUUUUAUGUGUUUCUUUAUAUUUAAUUUAUAACUGUAGAGACU
ensembl:lncRNA